AUUGAACGCUGGCGGCAUGCUUUACACAUGCAAGUCGAGCGGCAGCGCGGGGGCAACCCUGGCGGCGAGCGGCGAACGGGUGAGUAAUGCAUCGGAACGUGUCCCGUAGUGGGGGAUAACCCGGCGAAAGCCGGGCUAAUACCGCAUAUGCUCUACGGAGGAAAGGGGGGGAUCCGCAAGGACCUCUCGCUAUGGGAGCGGCCGAUGUCCGAUUAGCUUGUUGGUGGGGUAAUGGGCUUACCAAGGCGACGAUCGGUAGCUGGUCUGAGAGGAUGAUCAGCCACACUGGGACUGAGACACGGCCCAGACUCCUACGGGAGGCAGCAGUGGGGAAUUUUGGACAAUGGGGGCAACCCUGAUCCAGCCAUGCCGCGUG
rnacentral:rRNA from 1 species